rnacentral:rRNA from 1 species
AACGAACGCUGGCGGCGUGCCUAACACAUGCAAGUCGAGCGCGAAAGUCCCUUCGGGGGCGAGUAGAGCGGCGGACGGGUGAGUAAUACAUAGGUAAUCUACCUUCGAGCUUGGGAUAACCCCGCGCAAGUGGGGCUAAUACCGGAUAAGACCACGUAACCAUGUUACGGGGUAAAAGGUGGCUUAUUUUUUAAAUGAGCUAUCACUUGAGGAUGAGCCUGUGGCCUAUCAGCUAGUUUGCGGGGUAAGAGCCCACCAAGGCUAUGACGGGUAGCUGGGCUGAGAGGACGACCAGCCACACUGGGACUGAGACACGGCCCAGACUCCUACGGGAGGCAGCAGUGGGGAAUAUUGGGCAAUGGGCGAAAGCCUGACCCAGCGACGCCGCGUGGGCGAUGAAGGCCUUCGGGUUGUAAAGCCCUGUCAUGCGGAAAGAACGACCCUGUGACGCAUACUCACAGGGAGUGACGGUACCGCAGGAGGAAGCACCGGCUAACUCCGUGCCAGCCGCCGCAGUAAUAC